UACGUAGGGUGCGAGCGUUGUCCGGAAUUAUUGGGCGUAAAGGGCGCGUAGGCGGCGCGGUAUGUCACCUGUGAAAUCUCUUGGCUCAACUGGGAGCUUGCAGGCGAAACUGCCGUGCUGGAGUGUGGGAGAGGUGCGUGGAAUUCCUGGUGUAGCGGUGAAAUGCGUAGAUAUCAGGAGGAACACCUGUGGCGAAAGCGGCGCACUGGACCACAACUGACGCUGAGGCGCGAAAGCUAGGGGAGCAAACAGG
rnacentral:rRNA from 1 species